rnacentral:rRNA from 1 species
GACGAACCGUGCGAACGUUGUUCGGAAUCACUGGGCUUAAAGGGCGCGUAGGUCGGGUCGGCAAGUCAGGGUGAAAGCCCGCGGCUCAACCGACGGAAGUCGGCCUUUGACUCACUGCCGGAUCUUGGAGGGAGGCAGGGGAGUGACGGCGGGAACUUCCGGUGGAGCGGUGAAAUGCGAUAGAUAUCGGAAGGAACACCGGUGGCGAAACGCGGCGCUCUGGUCCUCUUCGUCGACGCUGAGGCGCGAAAGCCAGGGGAAGCCAAAGCGGGG